rnacentral:snRNA from 1 species
UAGACCGGAGUUAAAGUUUGGG